GCCCUUGCGAGGCGGCGCGCGCCGGCCUAUAUCAGGGGUGUUCCGGCUUGCCGGGACUAUGGCGAUAAACGCACCCGUAAUAAGCGGAUCGGACCCGGGGGCGGUACCCGGCGACUCCACCAAUACUCCCUCGUUUGGGGCGGAUGGGGUCGAAACAGGAUCGACGAACGUCUAAAGGGGCCAGCUUUCGCUCGGUGAGGUACCACCGUUAUCGGUCCGAAAUGUACAGUUGCAAACGACAACCGUGCUCCGAUGGCUGUUGCUGCGUAAGCAGUAAUGACAUCGAAACUUAAGUCCUUGCGCUUAGCCGCGUAAGGCGGGGCCCGCAGGAGCCUGGCAACAGAAUCCUGCACC
rnacentral:tmRNA from 1 species